AAGAAAUAUUGAUAUUGGACCCAAAGGGUACAAUGAUUGAAAUGAGAACAAUAUAAAAAACUUAACGACUAACAAUUGGAGGGCAAGUCUGGUGCCAGCAGCCGCGGUAAUUCCAGCUCCAAGAGUGUAUAUUAAAGUUGUUGCGGUUAAAAAGCUCGUAGUUGAAUUUCUGAAAAUAAUCUUGUGAUUGAUUUAACCGUCAUGAACAAAAUUGUUUACAUACUUGAUAGAUGGAAACAUUUAUCUUAAUGACUUUGAAAAAUUAGAGUGUUUAAAGCAGCCUCUUGGGGCACUGAAUACAUUAGCAUGGGAUAAUAAAAUAGGAUCUUCACAAUAUAUUUUAUUGGUUUAAAUUGCGUAUGAAGAUAAUGAUUAAUAGGGACAGUUGGGGGUAUUCAUAUUGGGUGGUUAGCGGUGAAAUGCUCGGAUCCAUUCAAGAUGAACUAAAGCGAAGGCAUUUACCAAGGAUGUUUUCAUUAAUCAAGAACGAAAGUUAAGGGAUCGAAGACGAUUAGAUACCGUC
rnacentral:rRNA from 1 species